AAGGACGCACGCAACAGAAGUGCAACAGAAGAGAAGCAUGUCGGGAAAAGCUAAUCUCACCAGCGCUACAAUGUCUUCGGUCUCAUGCAGAUGAUAAUAGAAAGGCUCCUUAGAGAUGUUCAGACGGUGCCUUCAGAUCCCACAGCAGAUGAAUUAUCUGCAGCCAGCAGGACAC